AACGAACGCUGGCGGCAGGCCUAACACAUGCAAGUCGAGCGAGGACUUCGGUUCUAGCGGCGGACGGGUGAGUAACGCGUGGGAAUGUGCCCUUCUCUACGGAAUAGCCCUGGGAAACUGGGAGUAAUACCGUAUACGCCCUUUUGGGGAAAGAUUUAUCGGAGAAGGAUCAGCCCGCGUUGGAUUAGGUAGUUGGUGGGGUAAUGGCCUACCAAGCCGACGAUCCAUAGCUGGUUUGAGAGGAUGAUCAGCCACACUGGGACUGAGACACGGCCCAGACUCCUACGGGAGGCAGCUGUGGGGAAUCUUAGACAAUGGGGGCAACCCUGAUCUAGCCAUGCCGCGUGAGUGAUGAAGGCCUUAGGGUUGUAAAGCUCUUUCAGCUGGGAAGAUAAUGACGGUACCAGCAGAAGAAGCCCCGGCUAACUCCGUG
rnacentral:rRNA from 1 species